rnacentral:misc_RNA from 1 species
UUGGGUUUUGAUUCCCAUACAGCAUAGAAGAGGAAGAACAGCGAAAGUUCCUGCCUUUUUUGCCCAAUUUGAAGGCAAGUUUUCAGCCCUUUGGUUAUAUAAUUCCAGCAACAUGUUGGAGGGAUCUUAUAUAAUAUCAAGGGAAUUACCUGCCUCAUGCGAGCAAGAGGGCCCGUGGAUUUACAAUACUUUUCGUGUUGUUGAGCGCUCUAGCAAGCGCAGGUUGGAAGAUGGAGAAGAUGUUGCAUCAAAAAAGGCAGCUAGGCCAUCGGACGUCCAGGAGAGACAGGAAAAGAUGGAGGGUCUACAUGUUCUUCCUGUCUGCCAAACUGAUGAACCAGAUGAUCAGCCUCAAGCAGAGGAUAUAUGUGUUCUUUCUGCUGUGCAAUCUGAUCAACCAGAUCAGCAUCAAGCAACUGGUCUGGGUGGUCUUUCUGCUGUGCAAACCGAUCAGCCAGAUAACCAGCAUCAAGCUGUGGGUCUGAACAGUCUUUCUGCUGUGCAAAUUGAUCAACCAGAUAAUCAGCAUCCAAUGGCAGGUCUGCAUGUUCUUGCUGUUGCACAAACUGAUCAACCAGAUAAUCAGGAUCAGGUGGAGGAUAAAUCAGAUUCAAGUUCGCUUAUUAAUCAACUUGGUCGAGAACUGUCAAUAAGCUGUCUCCUCCACUGCUCAAGGUCUGAUUAUGGCACCAUUGCUUCAUUGAAUAAAAGCUUCCAGUCCGUAGUUCAGAGUGGUCAGCUGUAUAAGCUGAGGCGGAAAAUGGGUAUUGUUGAGCACUGGGUGUACUUCUCCUGCAAUCUUCUUGAAUGGGAGGCCUUUGAUCCUAUUUGCCGCCGAUGGAUGCAUUUGCCAAGAAUGAAUUCAAAUGAAUGCUUCAUGUGUUCGGAUAAGGAAUCAUUGGCCGUUGGUACAGAACUGCUAGUUUUUGGAAAGGAAAUAGAAUCUCAUGUUAUUUAUAGAUAUAGCAUUUUAACGAACAAGUGGACAUCCGGCAUGAAAAUGAACACACCCCGGUGCUUGUUCGGGUCCGCCAGUCUUGGGGAAAUUGCAAUUUUGGCUGGCGGUUGUGAUCCAGCUGGCAAUGUUUUGAGCUCGGCAGAGCUUUAUAAUUCGGAAACAGGCACGUGGAUUAGCAUUCCAAGCAUGAAUAAAGCCAGGAAAAUGUGUUCUGGAGUAUUUAUGGAUGGCAAAUUUUAUGUUAUUGGUGGGAUUGGGACAGGCAAUACAAAGAUGCUUACGUGUGGGGAGGUAUAUGAUAUGGAAACAAGAACGUGGCAUGUGAUACCUGAUAUGUUACCUGCACGAAAUGGAGGAACAGGGGGGAAUGAAACAUCUGCUGCAGCUGAGGCACCUCCUUUAGUUGCAGUUGCAAAUGAUGAGCUUUAUGCAGCUGAUUAUGCACAAAAGGAGGUGAGGAAAUAUGACAAAGAAAAGAAUGUGUGGAUCACAUUAGGGGGACUACCUGAACAAGCAGUUUCAAUGAAUGGUUGGGGGCUCGCAUUUAGGGCAUGUGGAGAUCGGCUAAUUGUUAUAGGUGGACCUAGGGCUUUAGGUGGGGGAAUGAUUGAGCUUAACUCUUGGGUUCCGAGUGAGGGCCCCCCACAAUGGGAUCUGCUUGCAAAGAAACCCUCAGGCAGCUUCGUGUACAAUUGUGCAGUGAUGGGAUGCUGAGUUGUGAAGUUUAAGCAACAAAAAAUGUAGUGCAUGGAGGCCUUUCUGUUGGACUAUUUUUUCAUGGAGAUGGGAAUCUGGACAGUGGGUAAUAUCUGCCUUCCUUUUUGGGGUAAUUUUCAGGUUUUAAUUUAGAUCUAUAGGUACAGUUUUAGAAGGAGGUCUGGAGAUAACUUUGCCUCUUACUUUAAUUAUUUUGUUUCAUGUACUUUUUCUUCCUUUCUAGUCAGAGCAUCUGUUCAGUUACCAUGAGAGGGUUUCAAAAGUUGGCACA